GACGAACGCUGGCGGCGUGCUUAACACAUGCAGGUCGAACGGAAAGGCCCUGCUUUUGUGGGGUGCUCGAGUGGCGAACGGGUGAGUAUCACGUGAGUAACCUGCCCUUGACUUUGGGAUAACUUCAGGAAACUGGGGCUAAUACCGGAUAGGAGCUCCUGCUGCAUGGUGGGGGUUGGAAAGUUUCGGCGGUUGGGGAUGGACUCGCGGCUUAUCAGCUUGUUGGUGGGGUAGUGGCUUACCAAGGCUUUGACGGGUAGCCGGCCUGAGAGGGUGACCGGCCACAUUGGGACUGAGAUACGGCCCAGACUCCUACGGGAGGCAGCAGUGGGGAAUAUUGCACAAUGGGCGGAAGCCUGAUGCAGCAACGCCGCGUGCGGGAUGACGGCCUUCGGGUUGUAAACCGCUUUCGCCUGUGACGAAGCGUGAGUGACGGUAAUGGGUAAAGAAGCACCGGCUAACUACGUG
rnacentral:rRNA from 1 species